GUCUACAGCCAUACCACCCUGAACGUGCCUGGUCUUGUCUAAUCUUGGAAGCGAAGCAGGGUUGGGCGUGGUUAGUACUUGGAUGGGCGACCCAUUGGUUUUGUUUUAUAUUUA
rnacentral:rRNA from 1 species